CUUGGUCAUUUAGAGGAAGUAAAAGUCGUAACAAGGUUUCCGUAGGUGAACCUGCGGAAGGAUCAUUAAUGAAUUUAGGAGGUUUGCUGUGCCGUCUUCACGGAAUUGUGCACGCUUACCUCUAUAAUCCUUAUCAACACCUGUGCACCUUUCUAGGGAGAACGAUAGGUUUCACGACCUAUCAUGACCUCUAUAUACACACUCUUUAUGUCAAUGAAUGUUACUUGGCCGAAAGGCUAGAAUUAUAAACAACUUUUAACAACGGAUCUCUUGGCUCUCGCAUCGAUGAAGAACGCAGCGAAAUGCGAUAAGUAAUGUGAAUUGCAGAAUUCAGUGAAUCAUCGAAUCUUUGAACGCACCUUGCGCUCCCUGGUAUUCCGGGGAGCACGCCUGUUCGAGUGUUAUGAAACUAUCAAGAGAAAUUGGCUUUAUUGUUGAUUUUGAUUGGAUUUGAACUUUGACGUUGAUCUAGGUAGAGGGUUACUCCUCUGCUCCGUAAUACGACUAGUUUUAAAAGUAUAAGCAGGCUCUGGUUUUUUAAUUACCAUGGUUCUACUCAGCGUGAUAAUUAUCUAUCGUUGAGGACACUUUUAUUAGUGGCCAUGGUCCCAAGAGUUGCUCUCUAAUCUCUGUGAUCAGUUGCAAAACUGAUUUCAUUCAUAUCUGACCUCGAAUCAGGUGGGACUACUCGCUGAACUUAAGCAUAUCAAUAAGCGGAGGA
rnacentral:rRNA from 1 species